GGGUACAGCUCAGUGGUGUAGUGCCUGCUUAGCAUGCACGAGGUCCUGGGUUCAAUCCCCAGUACUGCCA
rnacentral:tRNA from 1 species